rnacentral:rRNA from 1 species
UACGGGGGGGUGCGAGCGUUGUCCGGAAUCACUGGGCGUAAAGGGCGCGUAGGUGGUUUGAUAAGGGUGUGGUGAAAGUCCAGGGCUCAACCCUGGAAUGCCAGUGGAUACUGUCAAGCUAGAGUCCGGAAGAGGCGAGUGGAAUUCCUGGUGUAGCGGUGAAAUGCGCAGAUAUCAGGAGGAACACCAAUGGCGAAGGCAGCUCGCUGGGACGGUACUGACGCUGAGACGCGAAAGCGUGGGGAGCAAACAGG